GAUGAAGAACGUAGCGAAACGCGAUAAGUAAUGUGAAUUGCAGAAUCCAGUGAAUCAUCGAAUCUUUGAACGCACAUUGCGCCCGCCAGCAUUCUGGCGGGCAUGCCUGUUCGAGCGUCAUUUCAACCCUCGACCUCCCCUUGGGGAGGUCGGCGUUGGGGACCGGCAGCACACCGCCGGCCCUGAAAUGGAGUGGCGGCCCGGCCGCGGCGACCUCUGCGCAGUAAUACAGCUCGCACCGGGACCCCGACGCGGCCACGCCGUAAAACACCCAACUUCUGAACGUUGACCUCGAAUCAGGUAGGACUACCCGCUGAACUUAAGCAUAUCAAUAAGCGGAGGA
rnacentral:misc_RNA from 1 species